rnacentral:rRNA from 1 species
GAAUUCGCCCUUAGAGUUUGAUCCUGGCUCAGGAUGAACGCUGGCGGCGUGCUUAACACAUGCAAGUCGAACGGGGGUCAUAUGAUGGAAGUCUUCGGAUGGAAGUGGUGUGACUCUAGUGGCGGACGGGUGAGUAACACGUGAGCAACCUGCCUUUUGCUGGGGAAUAACUGUGGGAAACCAUGGCUAAUACCGCAUAUUGUACUGACUGGGCAUCCGGUUGGUAUGAAAGGAGAAAUCCGGCAGAAGAUGGGCUCGCGUCCGAUUAGGUAGUUGGUGGGGUAACGGCUCACCAAGCCGACGAUCGGUAGCCGGACUGAGAGGUCGAACGGCCACAUUGGGACUGAGAUACGGCCCAGACUCCUACGGGAGGCAGCAGUGGGGAAUAUUGGGCAAUGGGGGAAACCCUGACCCAGCGACGCCGCGUGAAGGACGAAGGCUUUCGGGUUGUAAACUUCUUUGGGGAGGGACGAAAUUGACGGUACCUCCAGAACAAGCCACGGCUAACUACGUGCCAGCAGCCGCGGUAAUACGUAGGUGGCAAGCGUUAUCCGGAUUUACUGGGUGUAAAGGGCGCGCAGGCGGUUCUGAAAGUCAGAUGUGAAAGAUCAAGGCUUAACUUUGACAGGUCAUCUGAAACUUUGGGACUUGAGUAUCAGAGGGGAAAGUGGAAUUCCUGGUGGAGCGGUAAAAUGCGCAGAGAUCAGGAGGAACACCGGUGGCGAAGGCGACUUUCUGGCUGACAACUGACGCUGAGGCGCGAAAGCGUGGGGAGCAAAUCAAGAGUGAGAUACCCUGGUAGUUCCCCCCCGUAAACGAAGAUUACUGGGUGUAGGGGGUAUUGACUCCCUCUGUGCCGAAGCAAACGCGAUAAGUAAUUCACCUGGGGAGUACGGCCGCAAGGCUAAAACUCAAAGGAAUUGACGGGGGCCCGCACAAGCAGUGGAGUAUGUGGUUUAAUUCGAGGCAACGCGAAGAACCUUACCAGGGUUUGACAUCCCGCGCAAUAGGUAGAGAUACUUAGUUCCCUUCGGGGACGCGGAGACAGGUGGUGCGUGGUUGUCGUCUGCUCGUGUCGUGGGAUGUUCGGU